ensembl:lncRNA
UGGAUUCAUUGGACUCAAUUUGGCCCUGCGACAGACUGGCAACCUGUCCAAGGUGUACCCCGCCUCUCACCCUAAGACAGCUGGGAUAGGCUCCAGCGCCCCCCUCGACCCUGAAAAUAAUAAGUGGAAGCGAAUGGAUGGAUGGAUAGAUGGAUUCAAUUUGUGUUACUGUUCGUGCGCAUUAAUCAGUCGUAGCUUUUAUCCUACGCUAAGGAGAUACACCACCAUUCAAAUUCACUGAAGUAUGUAUGUAGCUGAAGGGGCCGUGGCAAGUUGUUGGACCUUUGAUGCAUUUAGACAAGUGAACAUUUGAAAGAGUACCUACAGAAAAAAAGGAAAGAGGAAAAGUGUGUAGAGAAUGAAUACACCUCCUGCACUCAAACAACAACAUCCGUUACUAUACACGAUGAGUCUGAUAUCCUUAAAUGGAAGAUGCACUUCCUUCUGGAUUACAAGAAACUGCUGAACCCUCGUGCUAUCAGUACAUCUUGUUUGCGAAUGUUACUUGCUUUCACUUUGGGUGAGGGAAUUGUGGGAAAAUAAAUGCAGAGCCUUCCGCUUGUUGUCGUUCCGUCGACCUUUGACC